AUUGAACGCUGGCGGCAGGCUUAACACAUGCAAGUCGAGCGGAGCGAGGGUGCUUGCACCUUAGCUUAGCGGCGGACGGGUGAGUAAUGCUUAGGAAUCUGCCUAUUAGUGGGGGACAACAUUCCGAAAGGAAUGCUAAUACCGCAUACGCCCUACGGGGGAAAGCAGGGGAUCUUCGGACCUUGCGCUAAUAGAUGAGCCUAAGUCGGAUUAGCUAGUUGGUGGGUUAAAGGCCUACCAAGGCGACGAUCUGUAGCGGGUCUGAGAGGAUGAUCCGCCACAAUGGGAAUGUGACACGGCACAGACUCCUACGGGAGGCAGCAGUGGAGAGUAUUGGACAAUGGGCGAAAGCCUGAUCCAGCCAUGCCGCGUGUGUGAAGAAGGCCUUUUGGUUGUAAAGCACUUUAAGCGAGGAGGAGGCUACUAGUAUUAAUACUACUGGAUAGUGGACGUUACUCGCAGAAUAAGAACCGGCUAACUCUGUGCCAGCCGCCGCCGUAAGAC
rnacentral:rRNA from 1 species